UACGGAGGGAGCUAGCGUUGUUCGGAAUUACUGGGCGUAAAGCGCACGUAGGCGGCUUUCUAAGUCAGGGGUGAAAUCCCGGGGCUCAACCCCGGAACUGCCCUUGAAACUGGAUGGCUAGAAUCCUGGAGAGGCGAGUGGAAUCCGAGUGUAGAGGUGAAAUUCGUAGAUAUUCGGAAGAACACCAGUGGCGAAGGCGACUUACUGGACACAUAUUGACGCUGAGGUGCGAAAGCGUGGGGAGCAAACAGG
rnacentral:rRNA from 1 species